rnacentral:rRNA from 1 species
GACGAACCGUACGAACGUUAUUCGGAAUCACUGGGCUUAAAGGGUGCGUAGGCGGCGCGACAAGUUGGGUGUGAAAUCCCUCGGCUCAACCGAGGAACUGCGCCCAAAACUGUCGUGCUCGAGGGAGACAGAGGUGAGCGGAACUUAGGGUGGAGCGGUGAAAUGUGUAGAUAUCGGAAGGAACACCAGUGGCGAAGGCGGCAGCCUGGCUUUAUACUGACACUGAGGCGCGAAGGCGUGGGGAGCAAACAGG